GGGGAUGUAGCUCAGUGGCACAGCACCUGCCUGGCAAGCACAAGAUCAUGAGUUUGAUACUCAGCAACCCCC
rnacentral:tRNA from 1 species